UGGGGAAUAUUGCACAAUGGGCGCAAGCCUGAUGCAGCCAUGCCGCGUGUAUGAAGAAGGCCUUCGGGUUGUAAAGUACUUUCAGCGGGGAGGAAGGGAGUAAAGUUAAUACCUUUGCUCAUUGACGUUACCGACAGAAGAAGCACCGGCUAACUCCGUGCCAGCAGCCGCGGUAAUACGGAGGGUGCAAGCGUUAAUCGGAAUUACUGGGCGUAAAGCGCACGCAGGCGGUUGAUUGAGUCAGAUGUGAAAUCCCCGGGCUUAACCCGGGAAUUGCAUCUGAUACUGGUCAGCUAGAGUGUUGUAGAGGGGGGUAGAAUUCCAUGUGUAGCGGUGAAAUGCGUAGAGAUGUGGAGGAAUACCGGUGGCGAAGGCGGCCCCCUGGACAAAGACUGACGCUCAGGUGCGAAAGCGUGGGGAGCAAACAGG
rnacentral:rRNA from 1 species